rnacentral:lncRNA from 1 species
AUUUGUUCCCAACAUUGUUUCAUUCCGGAGAUGUAAUUUUUCCUUCCGUUGUCAAAAUAAAGGAAAAAAUAUCUUGCUUUGGGGAGAAGAAUUCGGUAAAGAUGCAGCAUGUAUUCACUCAACACGCUUAGAUGAAUCUAAUUGUUCAAAAAAGAAAAAACAAAUUCGAGAUUUUAUAUGAUAUUUGAGAGGAAAACAGAAGCGUUCUAAGUAAAUCAACACACGAGAGGACCGAUCAAUAAAAUAUCAAAAUUAACUUAUAGGAUAGAUUAUUAGUUGGUGGACAUACUGCAAUUACAGCGGACAGUCUUUCCUUACCGUGAAAAACGAAUGACAAUUUCACAAAGAACUCGAGCAACGAUUUGCCGUCGACCACCUCGUCCCCUCCUUCAGGCAAUAUCCGACGAGCUGAGCAUCGAUACACGCAGAUGUCUUCGAACAAGGAUAGUCAAUUUAAGGAACCCUUGUUGAACUCUCCAUCUCAGCGACCGCCGAUCCAUGAUGGGACAGAUGGGUACCCUGAUGUGAUGUCGCUGGGAGUUAGUAAGGAGAUCAUUGACGAAUAUAAAAGACUUCCCAAGCCAACGAAGAAAACAACCGAAGCUUCUAAACCCUGCAACAAGUUCCAAAACCGCUACG